UACAGAGGGGGCAAGCGUUGUUCGGAAUUACUGGGCGUAAAGGGCUCGUAGGCGGCCAACUAAGUCGGACGUGAAAUCCCCAGGCUCAACCUGGGAACUGCGUCCGAUACUGGAUGGCUUGAAUUCGGGAGAGGGAUGCAGAAUUCCAGGUGUAGCGGUGAAAUGCGUAGAUAUCUGGAGGAAUACCGGUGGCGAAGGCGGCAUCCUGGACCGACAUUGACGCUGAUGAGCGAAAGCUAGGGGAGCAAACGGG
rnacentral:rRNA from 1 species